rnacentral:rRNA from 1 species
UGGCACCUCGAUGUCGGCUCAUCUCAUCCUGGGGCUGGAGCAGGUCCCAAGGGUAUGGCUGUUCGCCAUUUAAAGAGGUACGUGAGCUGGGUUCAGAACGUCGUGAGACAGUUCGGUCCCUAUCUGCCGUGGGUGUUGGAGUCUUGAGAGGAUCUGCCCUUAGUACGAGAGGACCGGGGUGGACGUACCACUGGUGUACCUGUUGUUCCGCCAGGAGCAUCGCAGGGUAGCUAAGUACGGACAGGAUAACCGCUGAAAGCAUCUAAGCGGGAAACCCACCUCAAAACCAGGACUCCCUAUCAGAGCCGUUCUAGACCAGGACGUUGAUAGGUUCGGUGUGGAAGAGUGGCAACACUUGAAGCUAACGAAUACUAAUUGCUCGAUCGACUUGUUUU